CCAAUCUGUUCAGCUAAUGCUGUUUGAGAUAGACAAAAUAUGGACUGAAGAAGAAACAAACAAAAUGAACGAAUCAGCUCUAAUGUCAGAAAUGCAAGUGAACGAUAUGCAUGAGCUUCAACAAAUGUUGAUCAGGGCUUACAGAGAAGGUUCUUUCAGUUGGAGAUGAGAGAAUUGACUUGGACAGAACCUCAGUGGUUGGACAAAGACAAAACAAACUCUUUU